rnacentral:lncRNA from 1 species
CUUUAGCAAUGACAUCGUCUCCUUUUGAGUUUUGAAACAUCAUGAAUCAGCCCCGAGCGUUUAAACUUAAGAGUAACAGCAUGGAUUAGUGAACAGAAUCAGAACACAUACUAAAGCCUCGACUUCCACCAUGGAGUGGACAUAGGUAAACAGUUGAAGUGGACAUAGGUAAACAGUUGAAGGAUGACAACCUGUAAAAUUGAAUACAAGCAAGGCUCAUAUAUGCUCAGCAAGAGAAGAAAGGAGUACAAUUCACAUAGCCAAGGAGAAAUCUCAUCACAUAAUCUUCUACUCAUAGUGAAAGAUAUUGGAGCU